rnacentral:rRNA from 1 species
AUUGAACGCUGGCGGCAUGCUUUACACAUGCAAGUCGAACGGUAACGCGGGGGCAACCCUGGCGACGAGUGGCGAACGGGUGAGUAAUACAUCGGAACAUGUCCUGGAGUGGGGGAUAGCUCGGCGAAAGCCGGAUUAAUACCGCAUACGCUCUGAGGAGGAAAGCGGGGGACCUUCGGGCCUCGCGCUGCAGGAGUGGCCGAUGUCGGAUUAGCUAGUUGGUGGGGUAAAGGCCCACCAAGGCGACGAUCCGUAGCUGGUCUGAGAGGAUGAUCAGCCACACUGGGACUGAGACACGGCCCAGACUCCUACGGGAGGCAGCAGUGGGGAAUUUUGGACAAUGGGGGCAACCCUGAUCCAGCCAUGCCGCGUGAGUGAAGAAGGCCUGG